rnacentral:ncRNA from 1 species
GCCCGGGGACGACCCCGGGGCCAGGAUCGACAUGCGGGACGGCCCG